rnacentral:rRNA from 1 species
UACGUAGGGCGCAAGCGUUGUCCGGAAUUAUUGGGCGUAAAGAGCCCGUAGGCGGUUUGUCGCGUCUGCUGUGAAAACUCGAGGCUCAACCUCGGGCUUGCAGUGGGUACGGGCAGACUAGAGUGCGGUAGGGGUGACUGGAAUUCCUGGUGUAGCGGUGGAAUGCGCAGAUAUCAGGAGGAACACCGAUGGCGAAGGCAGGUCACUGGGCCGCAACUGACGCUGAGGAGCGAAAGCAUGGGGAGCGAACAGG